UCUCCAACGUCUGGCAGAAAACUCCCUUAGUGGGGGAGAGUCAUCUCUUUAAUGGACUUUACAGUGAUAUAACAGAAGUUGGCCUUGGUAUAGUAUCUUGUUCUGCAAGCUAUUUGACGAAGGAUGGGCUUGCUGCUGUAAAGCUAGUACAGCAAAAUUGUCCAGUUAUUGAAGGUGAAUAUGAGGGUCCUCCACCUCCAACCACUGGCAGAAAAUUCCUUUAGUGGGGGAAACUCCUUCCUUUGAUGGACUUUUUUUUUAUGUCGUUUUAAUGGAAACCGUUUGUUUGCUUUACUUUUAUUC
rnacentral:lncRNA from 1 species